rnacentral:rRNA from 1 species
GUGGGGAAUAUUGCACAAUGGGCGCAAGCCUGAUGCAGCAACGCCGCGUGAGGGAUGACGGCCUUCGGGUUGUAAACCUCUUUUAGUAGGGAAGAAGCGUAAGUGACGGUACCUGCAGAAAAAGCACCGGCUAACUACGUGCCAGCAGCCGCGGUAAUACGUAGGGUGCAAGCGUUGUCCGGAAUUAUUGGGCGUAAAGAGCUCGUAGGCGGCUUGUCGCGUCUGCUGUGAAAUCCCGGAGCUCAACUCCGGGCGUGCAGUGGGUACGGGCAGGCUAGAGUGCGGUAGGGGAGAUUGGAAUUCCUGGUGUAGCGGUGGAAUGCGCAGAUAUCAGGAGGAACACCGAUGGCGAAGGCAGAUCUCUGGGCCGUAACUGACGCUGAGGAGCGAAAGCAUGGGGAGCGAACAGGAUUAGAUACCCUAGUAGUCC